rnacentral:lncRNA from 1 species
ACGAUGGAGCAGAUGAACGGCCAGCUCCCGGCGACGCUCGCGCCGUCAAACAUGACGAUGAUCCAGCACCGCUAAGCGAUCGCGAGGGGUCGCUCGGUCCGAUCGAGUGCAUUAAAUUAAGUUUUAUUCCUUGCGGUGGAUAUUUUCCUCGCGGCGGUCGGGAGCGUCGAUCGCGCGACGCGCGGGUUCGUCCGGGACCCGCGCGUCGCGCGCGCCGUGCGCGUCGAUCGCGCGGACGGACGGAGGUCUUUUCUAAUCGUAGAAAAUGUGAGGGGACGGGAACGUCGUCGAGCUCGGCGGCGUCCGCGCUUGAAUUAACCUUGAAUUAACCUUGAACCAGCUGAGCC